rnacentral:rRNA from 1 species
UCAGGAUGAACGCUGGCGGCGUGCUUAAUACAUGCAAGUCGAACGAAGCACUUCAGCAGAUCCCUCGGGGUGAAGCCGGUGUGACUUAGUGGCGGACGGGUGAGUAACGCGUGGGUAACCUGCCUAUACAGGGGGAUAACAGCUGGAAACGACUGCUAAUACCCCAUAAGCGCACGGCACCGCAUGAUGCAGUGUGAAAAGAUUUAUCGGUAUAAGAUGGACCCGCGUCUGAUUAGUUAGUUGGCGGGGUAACGGCCCACCAAGACCGCGAUCAGUAGCCGACUUGAGAGAGUGAUCGGCCACAUUGGGACUGAGACACGGCCCAGACUCCUACGGGAGGCAGCAGUAGGGAAUAUUGCACAAUGGGGGAAACCCUGAUGCAGCCGACGCCGCGUGAGUGAUGAAGUAUUUCGGUAUGUAAAGCUCUAUCAGCAGGGAAGAUAAUGACGGUACCUGACUAAGAAGCCCCGGCUAACUACGUGCCAGCCGCCGC